ACUCACCAAUCCAUUUCUCUCGACACUUUAACCAAUUUGAUUGAAAUUCGAUUAUCGUUUUCGGGUUUCGAUACGUUAUAUUCUCCACCCCUUAUAUUUAGUUUCGUCCGCGAAACUAGCUUACUUUAACUCAAAUUCAUACCUUAGUUCAGCUCGUCGAAGAGAUGAGGGUAAUGUUCCCUCAUUGCGCUCUCGAGCUCCCAAGUAGCUUCCCGGUCGUCGUGAUUACACCAACG
rnacentral:lncRNA from 1 species